GACGAACGCUGGCGGCGUGCUUAACACAUGCAAGUCGAACGAUGAAGAAGAGCUUGCUCUUCGGAUUAGUGGCGAACGGGUGAGUAACACGUGACUAACCUGCCCCUUUCUCUGGGAUAACGCUCCGAAAGGAGUGCUAAUACCGGAUACUCACAUCGAGGCACAUGCCUUGAUGUGGAAAGUUUUUCGGAAAGGGAUGGAGUCGCGGCCUAUCAGCUUGUUGGUGAGGUAACGGCUCACCAAGGCGACGACGGGUAGCCGACGUGAGAGGGCGACCGGCCACGCGUGUACUGAUACACGGCACAGACUCCUACGGGGGGCAGCAGUGGGGAAUAUUGCACAAUGGUCGAAAGCCUGAUGCAGCGACGCCGCGUGAGGGAUGAAGGUCUUCGGAUUGUAAACCUCUUUCAGUAGGGACGAAGCGAAAGUGACGGUACCUAAAGAAGAAGCACCGGCUAACUACGUGCCAGCAGCCGCCGUAA
rnacentral:rRNA from 1 species